rnacentral:rRNA from 1 species
UAGGGAAUAUUAGUAAUGGGCGAAAGCCUGAACUAGCAACGCCGCGUGUGCGAAGAAGGCCUUCGGGUCGUAAAGCACUUUUUGAGAGGAUGAGGAAGGACGGUACUCUCAGAAUAAGUCUCGGCUAACUACGUGCCAGCAGCCGCGGUAACACGUAGGAGGCAAACGUUAUCCGGAUUUACUGGGCGUAAAGCGCGUGUAGGUGGUUUGGUAAGUAGGGCGUGAAAGCUCCUGGCUCAACUGGGAGAGGACGUUCUAAACUGCCAA